CUCCAGCUUGGGUGACAGAGUGACAGCCUGUAUCUAAAAAAAAAAAAAAGGGAGAGAGAGAGAGAGGAUCAGAUCUACCUGGAGAGGUCAGAGAAGGUUUCCAUAGAGAAUAAAACUUGAGCUACAUUUUGAAGAAUGAGGGGGGAAUACAAGGAGGGAAAAAUAACAGGAACAAGACCUGUUCCUGUUACAGCAAACCUGUAACUCCCGCCAUGGAAUGGGCACAUUUUCCUGUAGACAGUUGGAGCAAGUAUGGGCUUCAAGCUUAGGGGGCUGAUAUGAUCACUUGUCAAUCUGAAGAUGACUCUUGCAACAGUGUAGAGGAUAGGGUGAGGUGGAUAGGUUGGCGGCCGACAGACUAGGUCAGUGUAGAGGAUAGGGUGAGGUGGAUAGGUUGGCGGCUGACAGACUAGGUCAGUGUAGAGGAUAGGGUGAGGUGGAUAGGUUGGUGACCAGUGUAGAGGACACGGUGAGGUGGAUAGGUUAGUGGCCAGUGUAGAGGACAGGGUGAGGUGGAUAGGUUGGUGACCAGUGUAGAGGACACGGUGAGGUGGAUAGGUUAGUGGCCAGUGUAGAGGACAGGGUGAGGUGGAUAGGUUGGUGGCCAGUGUAGAGGAUAGGAUGAGGUGGAUAGGUUAGUGGCCAGUGUAGAGGACAGGGUGAGGUGGAUAGGUUGGUGACCAGUGUAGAGGACAGGGUGAGGUGGAUAGGUUAGUGGCCAGUGUAGAGGACAGGGUGAGGUGGAUAAGUUGGUGACCAGUGUAGAGGACAGGGUGAGGUGGAUAGGUUGGUGGCCAGUGUAGAGGACAGGGUGAGGUGGAUAGGUUAGUGGCCAGUGUAGAGGACAGGGUGAGGUGGAUAGGUUGGUGACCAGUGUAGAGGACAGGGUGAGGUGGAUAGGUUAGUGGCCAGUGUAGAGGACAGGGUGAGGUGGAUAGGUUGGUGGCCAGUGUAGAGGACAGGGUGAGGUGGAUAGGUUGGUGGCCAGUGUAGAGGAUAGGGUGAGGUGGACAGGUUGGUGACCAGUGUAGAGGACAGGGUGAGGUGGAUAGGUUGGUGGCCAGUGUAGAGGACAGGGUGAGGUGGAUAGGUUGGUGACCAGUGUAGAGGACAGGGUAAGGUGGAUAGGUUAGUGGCCAGUGUAGAGGAUAGGGUGAGGUGGAUAGGUUGGCGGCCGACAGACUAGGUCAGGAGAGGGCUGACCAAGAGGAGGAGGGGUGACGAGGGCUGGAACCAAGGCAUAUGAGCUGCAAUGGAAAGAAGCUAGGUAGAAGAGAAAUAAAAACCGUCAGAACUGUGGAACCAACUCCAUGGGAGGGAUAAGAAGAAGGCCUAUUCUAGGGUGAAACCCAAAUUUCUGGCAUGGUACCAUUAACCCAGACAGAAAGAGUAGAUUUUCAGAGAAAGAAAAAGAAACAAAUUUUUGGGGAGGUGAGUGUGAGCUCUCUAGAGAAUAUGCAGGUAGAACUACAUGUUAACUGUAGCAUAUACUUGUCUGCACCUCAGGAGAUGACUGAUUAAGAAUUCAGGAUUCAGGCCAGGCACGGUGGCACACACCUUUAAUCCCAGCUGCUUAAGAGACUGAGGCGGCAGGAUUGCUUGAGCCUGGGAAUCCGAGACCAGCCUGGGCAACAUAGCAAGACACUGUCUCAAAAAAAAAGAGAAGAAAAAAAAGAAA